AUGGCCGCCUCGCUUCGCCUUCCUAGGAAACUAUGCAGUAUUUUGUUUUUUUACGUGUUAUUUCUUACAUUGGAACCUCAGGUAAUCUUAGGUUUCAUUACAUGCAGUCGGAAAGAACUACUGAAUAUAAGAGCAACGUCAACUCACCAUCAGUACGACCAGGAAUAUGACUUUCGCGAAGCGGAUCCUGUGUUCUGCCUUCCACCCAGGACAACGGAAUGGAUCCCAGCCUGCGACCCAAAACAACGAUGUCGUAAAAGAGGGAAACGAAGCGGACUUCUGGUCAGGCUCCAGAGACGGGCACAUCGCGCGCCACUCCCUAGCAUACUACUUGCCAAUGUCCAGUCUCUUGACAACAAGGUUGAUGAAAUCCAAGCAAGGAUAGCAUUCCAGAGAGACAUCAGAGACUGUAACGUUCUUUGCUUCACGGAAACAUGGCUCAAUCGAGAGAUGCUAACGGAAUCGGUGCAGCCAGCUCGUUUCUUCACGCAUCGCGCCGACAGAAACAAACCUCUUUCCGGUAAGAAGAGGGGCGGGGGCGUAUGCCUUAUGAUUAACGAGACGUGGUGUGAUCACAACAACAUACAGGAACUCAAGUCCUUCUGUUCACCUGACUUAGAAUUCCUCACAAUCAAAGGUCGACCGCAUUAUCUGCCAAGAGAAUUCUCUUCGAUUAUAUUCACAGCUGUAUAUAUUCCCCCCCAAGCAGACACAUCGAUGGCCCUGAACAAACUUUAUUUGACUCUUUGCAAACUGGAAACCACAUAUCCUGAGGCUGCAUUCAUUGUAGCUGGGGAUUUUAACAAGGCUAAUCUGAAAACAAGACUCCCUAAAUUGUAUCAGCAUAUCGAUUGUGCAACCAGGGCUGGUAAAACCUUGGAUCAUUGCCAUUCUAACUUCCGCGACGCAUAUAAGGCCCUCCCCCGCCAUCCUUUCAGAAAAGCUGACCACGACUCCAUUUUGUUGCUCCCUGCCUACAGACAGAAACUAAAACAAGAAGCUCCCGCGCUCAGGUCUGUUCAACGUUGGUCCGACCAAUCUGAUUUCAAAUUUCAAGACUGCUUCGAUCAUGUGGACUGGGAUAUGUUCCGCAUUGCUUCCAACAACAACAUUGACGAAUACGCUGAUUCGGUGAGCGAGUUCAUUAGAAAGUGCAUUGAUGAUGUCGUUCCCAUAGCAACGAUUAAAACAUUCCCAAACCAGAAACCGUGGAUUGAUGGCAGCAUUCGCGUGAAACUGAAAGCACGAACCACUGCUUUUAACCAGGGCAAGGUGACCGGAAACAUGACCGAAUACAAACAGUGUAGCUAUUCCCUCCGCAAGGCAAUCAAACAAGCUAAGCGUCAGUAUAGAGACAAAGUAGAGUCACAAAAACCUGAAGGAUCUGGAGAAGGUCUGUAUGGAGGAGUGGGCCAAAAUCCCUGCUGCAGUGUGUGCAAACCUUGUCAAGACUACAGGAAACGUAUGAUCUCUGUAAUUGCAAACAAAGGUUUCUGUACCAAAUAUGAAGUUAUGUUUUUCUGA
rnacentral:lncRNA from 13 species